GAUGAACGCUGGCGGCGUGCCUAAUACAUGCAAGUCGAGCGAACGGACGAGAAGCUUGCUUCUCUGAUGUUAGCGGCGGACGGGUGAGUAACACGUGGAUAACCUACCUAUAAGACUGGGAUAACUUCGGGAAACCGUAGCUAAUACCGGAUAAUAUUUUGAACCGCAUGGUUCAAAAGUGAAAGACGGUCUUGCUGUCACUUAUAGAUGCAUCCGCGCUGCAUUAGCUAGUUGGUAAGGUAACGGCUUACCAAGGCAACGAUGCAUAGCCGACCUGAGAGGGUGAUCGGCCACACUGGAACUGAGACACGGUCCAGACUCCUACGGGAGGCAGCAGUAGGGAAUCUUCCGCAAUGGGCGAAAGCCUGACGGAGCAACGCCGCGUGAGUGAUGAAGGUCUUCGGAUCGUAAAACUCUGUUAUUAGGGAAGAACAUAUGUGUAAGUAACUGUGCACAUCUUGACGGUACCUAAUCAGAAAGCCACGGCUAACUACGUG
rnacentral:rRNA from 1 species